GUGGAGAAGCAGAACAGAGACCAAGAGGAAGCUCCUCAGUCCACAGGGAGUUAGCUCUCCAGUACAUGGUGUCUGGUGCAAGGUCCGGAGAACAACAGUGAUAAUUCACCUUCCUCCUGAAGGAGCUUGCACCUGGCUAUCGCUUUACUUCAUUCGGCCUAUUAAGGCCAUGAAGUUCUCCUCUUGGGCCACAGGUGAAGAAAUGCAGCCUCUUUGACUCAGGGUGACGUCUUCAUGCUAAGGAAUCGCCGUCAGAAAUACUUACUCCUGUUACAUGAAGAGAUGAAAGCCUCUCAAAGCUUUCAUGAAAUCCUUGCCUUGUUUAAAAUUCUCCCACAGUUGCCUUCCUUGUUUGUGGAGUUGUGUGCUGGCUGAGAAGGCUAGCUCUGGAGCUGGCUGGCCAGGGUUCAGUUCCUGUCUCUACCACUUUCCAGGAACAAAAUUGGAAUGAUUACACUUGCCAUAACCCCGGUUGGAAGAUUAAUGACAUGACAUUUGACCAUCUGGUUACAGUUUUUAAGUGGGAACUGCUAAAUAAAGAUACAAACUGGUG